GGGCCGGCAAUGAGGUGAUAAUGCUCCUAAUGGGCCUGGAUAAGCGGGCGGAUCAGUGGUGUCAACAAUAGUGGAGCAGGAAAGGGCUGGAGAGAGGAGAAGCCUGGCCACGCUGGAGAAAUAGAGAACACUUGAGGAGCAGGAUGUCCAGUUUCCGGAACAUUGGGCCUUCUGGGUGGCCUCAUUCUGCUCGGCAUAUGCCAUGGCCACCACGGCCAGGAUCAGAUUGAUGAGGUAGAAAGAGCCCAGGAAGAUGAUGACCACGAAGAAGAUCAUAGCAGGGCAUCGUUGGAGCCCUCCAGGAAGUAGAAGUUCCCUUUGGGAGUCAGAGGCCACAAAGGAGGC
rnacentral:lncRNA from 1 species